rnacentral:rRNA from 1 species
UUAAGCGACUAAGCGUACACGGUGGAUGCCCUGGCAGUCAGAGGCGAUGAAGGACGUGCUAAUCUGCGAAAAGCGCCGGCGAGGUGAUAUGAACCUUUGACCCGGCGAUGUCCGAAUGGGGAAACCCAGUGCAAUUCGUUGCACUAUCGUUAACUGAAUACAUAGGUUAACGAGGCGAACCGGGGGAACUGAAACAUCUAAGUACCCCGAGGAAAAGAAAUCAACCGAGAUUCCCCCAGUAGCGGCGAGCGAACGGGGAGCAGCCCAGAGUCUGAAUCAGCUUGUGUGUUAGUGGAAGCGUCUGGAAAGUCGCACGGUACAGGGUGACAGUCCCGUACACGAAAGCACACAGGCUGUGAACUCGAAGAGUAGGGCGGGACACGUGGUAUCCUGUCUGAAUAUGGGGGGACCAUCCUCCAAGGCUAAAUACUCCUGACUGACCGAUAGUGAACCAGUACCGUGAGGGAAAGGCGAAAAGAACCCCGGCGAGGGGAGUGAAAAAGAACCUGAAACCGUGUACGUACAAGCAGUGGGAGCACCUUCGUGGUGUGACUGCGUACCUUUUGUAUAAUGGGUCAGCGACUUAUAUUCUGUAGCAAGGUUAACCGUAUAGGGGAGCCGAAGGGAAACCGAGUCUUAACUGGGCGUUAAGUUGCAGGGUAUAGACCCGAAACCCGGUGAUCUAGCCAUGGGCAGGUUGAAGGUUGGGUAACACUAACUGGAGGACCGAACCGACUAAUGUUGAAAAAUUAGCGGAUGACUUGUGGCUGGGGGUGAAAGGCCAAUCAAACCGGGAGAUAGCUGGUUCUCCCCGAAAGCUAUUUAGGUAGCGCCUCGUGAACUCAUCUUCGGGGGUAGAGCACUGUUUCGGCUAGGGGGCCAUCCCGGCUUACCAACCCGAUGCAAACUACGAAUACCGAAGAAUGUUAUCACGGGAGACACACGGCGGGUGCUAACGUCCGUCGUGAAGAGGGAAACAACCCAGACCGCCAGCUAAGGUCCCAAAGUCAUGGUUAAGUGGGAAACGAUGUGGGAAGGCACAGACAGCCAGGAUGUUGGCUUAGAAGCAGCCAUCAUUUAAAGAAAGCGUAAUAGCUCACUGGUCGAGUCGGCCUGCGCGGAAGAUGUAACGGGGCUAAACCAUGCACCGAAGCUGCGGCAGCGACGCGUAUGCGUUGUUGGGUAGGGGAGCGUUCUGUAAGCCGUUGAAGGUGUGCUGUGAGGCAUGCUGGAGGUAUCAGAAGUGCGAAUGCUGACAUAAGUAACGAUAAAGCGGGUGAAAAGCCCGCUCGCCGGAAGACCAAGGGUUCCUGUCCAACGUUAAUCGGGGCAGGGUGAGUCGACCCCUAAGGCGAGGCCGAAAGGCGUAGUCGAUGGGAAACAGGUUAAUAUUCCUGUACUUGGUGUUACUGCGAAGGGGGGACGGAGAAGGCUAUGUUAGCCGGGCGACGGUUGUCCCGGUUUAAGCAUGUAGGCGGAGGUUCCAGGUAAAUCCGGUACCUUUUAACGCUGAGGUGUGAUGACGAGGCACUACGGUGCUGAAGUAACAAAUGCCCUGCUUCCAGGAAAAGCCUCUAAGCAUCAGGUAACACGAAAUCGUACCCCAAACCGACACAGGUGGUCAGGUAGAGAAUACCAAGGCGCUUGAGAGAACUCGGGUGAAGGAACUAGGCAAAAUGGUGCCGUAACUUCGGGAGAAGGCACGCUGAUAUGUAGGUGAAGCCCCUGCGGGUGGAGCUGAAAUCAGUCGAAGAUACCAGCUGGCUGCAACUGUUUAUUAAAAACACAGCACUGUGCAAACACGAAAGUGGACGUAUACGGUGUGACGCCUGCCCGGUGCCGGAAGGUUAAUUGAUGGGGUUAGCGGCAACGCGAAGCUCUUGAUCGAAGCCCCGGUAAACGGCGGCCGUAACUAUAACGGUCCUAAGGUAGCGAAAUUCCUUGUCGGGUAAGUUCCGACCUGCACGAAUGGCGUAAUGAUGGCCAGGCUGUCUCCACCCGAGACUCAGUGAAAUUGAACUCGCUGUGAAGAUGCAGUGCACCCGCGGCAAGACGGAAAGACCCCGUGAACCUUUACUAUAGCUUGACACUGAACACUGGUCCUUGAUGUGUAGGAUAGGUGGGAGGCUUUGAAGCGUGGACGCCAGUCUGCGUGGAGCCGUCCUUGAAAUACCACCCUUUAAUGGCUGGUGUUCUAACGUAGACCCGUGAUCCGGGUUGCGGACAGUGUCUGGUGGGUAGUUUGACUGGGGCGGUCUCCUCCCAAAGAGUAACGGAGGAGCACGAAGGUUAGCUAAUCCUGGUCGGACAUCAGGAGGUUAGUGCAAUGGCAUAAGCUAGCUUGACUGCGAGAGUGACGGCUCGAGCAGGUGCGAAAGCAGGUCAUAGUGAUCCGGUGGUUCUGAAUGGAAGGGCCAUCGCUCAACGGAUAAAAGGUACUCCGGGGAUAACAGGCUGAUACCGCCCAAGAGUUCAUAUCGACGGCGGUGUUUGGCACCUCGAUGUCGGCUCAUCACAUCCUGGGGCUGAAGUAGGUCCCAAGGGUAUGGCUGUUCGCCAUUUAAAGUGGUACGCGAGCUGGGUUUAGAACGUCGUGAGACAGUUCGGUCCCUAUCUGCCGUGGGCGCUGGAGAAUUGAGGGGGGCUGCUCCUAGUACGAGAGGACCGGAGUGGACGCAUCACUGGUGUUCGGGUUGUCAUGCCAAUGGCACUGCCCGGUAGCUAAAUGCGGAAAAGAUAAGUGCUGAAAGCAUCUAAGCACGAAACUUGCCCCGAGAUGAGUUCUCCCUGACCCUUUAAGGGUCCUGAAGGAACGUUGAAGACGACGACGUUGAUAGGUCGGGUGUGUAAGCGCAGCGAUGCGUUGAGCUAACCGAUACUAAUGAACCGUGAGGCUUAACCUUACAACGCCGAAGCUGUUU